rnacentral:rRNA from 1 species
UACGGGGGGUGCGAGCGUUAAUCGGAAUUACUGGGCGUAAAGGGUCUGUAGGUGGUAAGAUAAGUCAGAUGUGAAAGCCCAGGGCUCAACCUUGGAAUUGCAUUUGAGACUGUUUUACUAGAGUAUGAUAGAGGAAUGAGGAAUUUCUGGUGUAGCGGUGAAAUGCGUAGAUAUCAGGAGGAACACCGAUGGCGAAGGCAACAUUCUGGGUUAAUACUGACACUGAGGGACGAAAGCGUGGGUAUCGAACAGG